rnacentral:rRNA from 1 species
UACGUAGGGGGCGAGCGUUGUCCGGAAUCAUUGGGCGUAAAGCGCGUGUAGGCGGUCCGGUAAGUCCGCUGUGAAAGUCGGGGGCUCAACCCUCGGAUGCCGGUGGAUACUGUCGGGCUUGAGUACGGAAGAGGCGAGUGGAAUUCCUGGUGUAGCGGUGAAAUGCGCAGAUAUCAGGAGGAACACCAAUUGCGAAGGCAGCUCGCUGGGACGUUACUGACGCUGAGGCGCGAAAGCGUGGGGAGCAAACAGG